GUUGAAACACCGGUUCCCGUUUGUUCACCGAAGUUAAGCAGUGUCAAGACUGUUCAGUAACUAGAUGGGUGACCGCUUGGGAAUGCAAGCUGCUGUA